rnacentral:rRNA from 1 species
CAGUAGCCGCGGUAAUACGAAGGGUGCAAGCGUCAAUCGGAAUUACUGGGCGUAAAGGGUGCGUAGGCGGUUGUUUAAGUCUGUUGUGAAAUCCCCGGGCUCAACCUGGGAAUGGCAAUGGAAACUGGACGGCUAGAGUGUGUCAGAGGAUGGUGGAAUUCCCGGUGUAGCGGUGAAAUGCGUAGAGAUCGGGAGGAACAUCAGUGGCGAAGGCGGCCAUCUGGGACAACACUGACGCUGAAGCACGAAAGCGUGGGGAGCAAACAGGAUUAGAUACCCCCGUAGUCCCUGUCUCUUAUAC